GCCUCGUUAGCUCAGUGGAUCAGAGCGUCGGCCUACGAAGCCGAAGGCCGGAGGUUCAACUCCUUCACGAGGCG
rnacentral:tRNA from 1 species